rnacentral:pre_miRNA from 1 species
GGGGGGAGCGCAGAUUCCUGGGCUGUGUCCCCGAGCACCCUGGGAUCUGGAGCCUGCACCACUGGAAUCGCGUUCCCGGGGCCCGCAGCCCCCU